GACAUUAGCAUAAAUAAACAUUCCUUUCAGAGGCCGUUGUUACACAUCCCUAUUUUUAAACAAACAAUGUGUGAAAGACAAAAGGUAAAUAUUGUUCAACAAACAACUGGAUAAAAUAAUGUUAAACUUUCUCAACGUGUUGGACAUUUCCAUUAAUUUGUUUACACGCCAUUUAUGUAGAUGCAAUUUUAUCUAGAAAUGGCCUGACUCUUGAGAACCUAUUUCUUCAUAAUAGAAGGUUUUUCAUACUCACUCAAUUAAUCUAAUGGAGUUGAGCUAGGUCAGUCCAAUUCCUAUAUCCUGACACGUCUGAAAAUGGGCAUGCAUCUUCAAAUACAGACUUUGGGAUUAGCUCUUAUUUCUGUCAUUAAACAAACAGAAAUGUCAGAUCCAAACAAUGUCAGACUUUGCAGGUUAAAGAUUUGGGAUCCCCUAGAUUUCAAGUCAUCUAAUAUACGUGUACCACCUAUGGAACAGUUGUACAGCUGUCUUCUUAAGGCUUGGGUUUUACAGGAAAUUAAGUAAAUGUAUGUAUAUAAUCCCCUUGAAGUUGCCUGGCCCAUUACUGCUGUGUGUAGAGAGGAAGGUCUCUGGGUUGUGGGAUGUUACAAGCUCAUGUACGCAAGGCUGGUGGGAAAAGCGCACAGACAUAUUCAUGAGAGGGUAGGCAAGGAUAAACAAGAUGUUGAAUUACACUUUGCCAAAUGAAGGGCUCAGAGCAGCCAAGGAAAAUCUUUUUGUUUUCCCCUCACAAAAUUAGACCUUUGUUUUUGUCUUAGGCACUGUGGCUAGCAGAGCUGUAAGGACAUUCAGUUAUCAUAGUUGCCGUCAUUCUCUGAAAUCUGUCCUUGAUUUUAUUUUCUGCUCCAGGAAAUAUUAUAGUAUUGUCAUUUUAUCUAUAUUAAAAAAACCUAAGGCCAGAUUCCUCAUGGUGUAAACAAGCAUGACUUCAGGAAAGCAAUGCUGAUUCACGCCAUCCGAGUGUCUGAUUUUUAAAAUAAAAGGGAACAUGUUACAAGAGAGUAAACAGAAGCAAAUAUUUUUUACAGAAACACGUCAUCAACAUAGCCCCCCCCCCCCCCAGGAUUUAGCAGGAAAAAAAAUAGCUAAGGUAGAUUUACAGAAGCCACCACUUUUUUUUUUAAUGAUUUGGAUAUUGAUCAUUUUUAAUCUUCUUCUCAGAACAACCAGCAGAUCUAUUAUAGCUUGAGCCAGCCAUGAAAAUCGGGUCUGUUCUUUAACCUGCCCCAAUUCACUUGGACAUAUUUUAUAUCUCCAGGGAUUCAGCCACGAAGUCCAUUAGAGCAUCAGAUGCUGUGAGGUCAAAUCAAUUGUCCAUACUGCAGACAAGGUAACCAUCAUUUACUGUAAUUCUCCCCCGUCAUGGUAGAGGAGAGGAAAGGUUAAAAGCUGUAUUACCACGAGGCUGUCUCAUCUGUCUUUCAGUAUAUUGGUAAUACCUAAACAUUGCUUAAAGAACUCAAUGUACAAUCUUAAAUCUGCGUUAAACUGGAUUUAAUGGUUAGAUUGCCAAAUCAACAAAUUUGCUAAUGAUUUUUUCUUCAGGGAGGAGCAGAAAAAAUACAACUUUUAAAAGAAAAAGUGAAAAACUUUAAAUAUAUUGUCACGUCCGACACAACACAUCCAAAGCUAAACUGAACCUUCAUCUUGGGAUGACCUGAAUGACUGAUAUUUAUCCUUCCCUAUACAUAGAUAUAUUUACCUAUGAAGUAAUUUGCUGUCAUCUCUUUAAGUUGGAGAUGCUACGACAGUCCAAAAACAAAAGAGGAAGUAAAUUCAGGAUGUAUAUUUUGCACUGUAAAUCAAGUCCUUAUGUAUUUGCACUCUAGGAUGGGCACUAAUAAUUGACUGAAGCAAUCACUGCUGUGGGAAAACAAACGUCCUAGUGGUGUCGCAUCUGAAGGUCAAGCCUGAUGACAUAGUAAGCACCUGAACUCUCACUGACUCCUGGGGAGGCAGUGGAUGCAGAGUACUUCCCGGAGCUUGCCUGGCAAGGACAGAUUUACACAGCUACUGGGGCUGGGGAUGAGGAUGCUUUUUUGCUCCCACCUCCCUCCAUUGGGUCUGCAAAGUCAUUUUCUUCCAUUACAGUGCCAUGCCAUCUCUCCGACUCCUGCGCUCCGUGCAUUAACUGCAUGAAACCAGAGAGAAAAUGCAGUUCUGUGCCAUGGACUGCAUAUUCCUCCUGCUCUGAACAAUUGCAGUGUGGCCCUGAUUAGUGUGACAUGAGCUGAUGUGCAUGUAGGGGAACUGUGCCCACUCCUGCUAUGCAUGUGAGAGCUAUGACACCAUGGCCCGGUUCUUGUAGGACUCCUCUGUUGAAGUGGGAAGCAAUAAUGAAGCUCAGAUUUAUCCACUUGACUUGCCUGUUUGCCUUUUCUAGGUUAAUCUUUUCUCUUUCCCUGGAUUUCUUUAAUCCUGGGUUGCUUUCAUUAGGAAAUUGAUUGAAGAUUGAAGUAGCUAUUGAGAUUUUCCAUAUUCCAGAAUCUUUUCACAGCUGUAGAAGUUAGUAAAUUUUUUUGUGUGUGUGUGUUUCAGAAGCUGAGCUGCUGAGCAAACAUACACAUGGAUUUAAAAUAGAGCCAAAGUUGUAAGUAAUAGAAGAUAGUCAAACAGUGUUAUUCUAGCAUAAGUGUCUCAAAUAUAUUUCUGCAGCUGUCAUAUAUCCAUGAUAUUCUUCUUGGGAGACAAUGGGAUGAAUUUAGUGGGAGUGUAAGAGUCGGUGUAGGUUAAAUAUUAAUAAAUAUUUUUAUUAUGAAGCCUAUUUUAAGGUUUUAGUUAGGGUUUAAUGCCCAGCACAGUAAGUUCUAACUUCAGAUAAUGAGGGUAUUCAGUAACCAUAAAAGGAAACUAGUAAAAGUUUUGUGUGUUCUGAAGGAGAGAUAAAUAUGCUUUAGAUUAGGUGUUACAUACCAUUCACUUAACUGCUUUGCUUCUUCUGUUCCCUCUUUUUAUGAUUUACCUUAACACAGACUCUGUGUGGCUUCUUUUCCUCAGUUUGUUACCCAUCACCUCUGAAUUCAUCCCUGUGAGUGUCUAUUCACAGGUCCUUUGCAUAUCCUUACAGCAGUGCAGAUUGGCGUUGUGUCAUUAAAGUAAUGCCACCAUUAUAAAUACAUAGCGGGCAACUCUUUACAAAAAUCAAGCACUAAAAAAUCUAAAUCUUUUUCAUUUUGAUAUAGAAAUUCAGAAAUAAAUAAGGGGAAUGUAAAGCUAAGAAAGAAAUAAAUUCAUCCAAGUCUGGAAAGAAAUGAAGGGUUAAAAAGAUGCUUUCCUUCAUAAUAGCACAAAAUUAAGACUGCAUGCAGCUUGCAUGCUCUGUUGCUUUCCUUGUUCUGGAGUACCUCUCGGAUAGCUCGCAGCUUAGUAGUGCCCUCUCUGCUGGUACAUACUCUGCAAUGCUAAUUCAGAGAAUGGUCCGCUGGGUUACUUAACUGAAACCAGAGUCUCAAAAAAGAUCAGACAAGCUUUGCUGUUCUUUGGCUUCAAUGGGUAUCACAGCACUGACUGAAAGAGCACUGAACUUAAUAGAAAGGAUUUGGAUCUGGAAAAAUGCUUACUGAAAUCAAUGAGAGAAAGCUUUAACUCCAACAGUUAACACUUCAUUCUGGCUGUGUUCUCAAUAGAUACAAGCAUUGGCUCUGUAAUGCCUAGUCAUUUUUUUAAGAUCAAUACAACAAACCUAAAUUGUGCAACGGAUGUGUAUUUACUAUCUGCUGUGUUAGCAUUAGAAGUCAGAUCAGGCUUUUGAAAAAUAAGUAUUUGAUUUUACAAUAAUUGCACCCUGUGCAGCAAACAAAUGUAUUUUUAGGGAAAUCUCUUUAACCAGGAAAAUCACUAAGGAAUUCCUCAAGAGUUAUGUAUAGCUCUUAGUUGACAGACUUCCUUAAAGAACUCCUUUUUCUAUGUCUACAGUAAUUAAAAUAAAAGUUGUUCUUUGAGUAUUUGCCAUUGGCAAGAUGUAUUUAGUUUAAUUUUCUCCAAAUGCUAAAGAGGUUGCUACAGUUAUGGGGAAGUAGUUAGGUCUUGUGAACAUGAGAGAGAUCCAGAUUCUCUGAAUUUGCUGAAAGGUGAUAUAAUCAAGCAGACCUUUCUUAUUCUCCUGGUCACUCUGAGGGAGCGUAGUAAUUGCCUGCUUGUUGCGUCAGUAGUCAGUGUCCUGGAAGCCGAGUUAAUGGCAUGACAGAUGUGGCAUUACAGAGAACAUCAGUGUGGGGCUUUAGGGAUAAAAUUCUCCUCUAAAUAACCAAAAAAGGCACUCCUGAUUACAAAACCCGGUGAGAUUAGACAGAAGUGCUCUGAAAACAUGCAUGAAAAAAGCAGAAGAGAAGUGCGUUUGUAAGCAAGUCUUAACCUGGGUGCAACUUGGGUUGUGUCACAGCAUGACUGUUUCACAUUAAAGAUGAAACACAAAAGCUCUAGCAGGAUGUUAUCAACAUAAUCUUUUCUUUUGAGAAGUAACCUGCUGUGUUAAAACUGAAACAAUUAUUAAUGAAAGACAUCUUAUAUCUAUAUAAAAAUGUUUCUUACAGUGCUAUAGGCCACCAGAGAAGACUGUAUGGCCCCUUCUUCUUUCCUUCUUUUUUUUUAAAAAGCAAUAAAUAGGGUGAAAAUUAGUAACUGUAGAUUACCUGGAGUUUCUUGGCAUUUACAGAUAAUUUCAAACUAAUAUGGAAAGUUUUGGAGGUUCUCUUUACUUAAGUAUGCACCUCCACAGAAUGCAUUUUUAGUGAGUCAGUUUUGCCUUGUGCUGAAGUCCCUCCUACUUGCCCCAGUCUACAAUAUAUCAUCCUCCAAUAUGUCACUGGGAAGUCUUAUUUAUAACAGAUUAUCCAGUAGUGUUUUCUGUUUGAAUCUCUUGACUUGGUGCUCUCUGAUGUCCAAACUGAGUGAAUCACAGAAGAAAGUUGGGGCCCUCAAGCUUUCAUAAGGCUAUUUAAGCCUUUUGAGUCUGAAAUAAUGGAUGAAAAAUAAAAAAAAAAUUCAAAUUAGAUAUACAGUUUUAAUUUCUGCUGAAUUCCUGAUGUUCAAAGCAUGAAAAAGGCACUGGUGUUCGUGACCAGAUGAAGAACAACUAGCUUAAAAAGAACACACAUACAACCCAAACCUAAGUGAUGAAUUAAACUUUUUGGCAUUUGCUUUGGGAUUGGAUUUUGGGCUGAAAUGUGUUGUACAAGUUCUUCAAAAGCUGAGGAGAAGGCACAGCAACCAGUGAGGGAAGGUUCUUGCUUUUCACAGAUCCAUCUGCCUUGCUUAUGAAUUUGUUAUUAGCUGCCUUGGAUGAUGAUUAAAAGAUCAAUGUAUAUUUGUCCAAACAUGGUGAGAAAAUGUAUCAAACUAUCCUGAAAGAUCUUCCAUUUUUUUACAAGUUCAGUUUAAACCAAUUUGUCAGAUCAAUUCAAGGACAAAAUUUACCAAGCUUUUGAAAAACAGAAAAGCAGUAGAAAUAUUUCCAUCAAUUAGAAGAAAAAAAUCUAUUUGAUUUUGUCCUCAGUAUCCUCACUUCCAGCUCUGAGUUCAGUGUUAAUAUAAUCCACCACUGAAUGGAAAUUUGAAUGAGAAAUUUGCUUUAAACAAAACUAAUUUAUUUUCAUUACUGAAACUGAGGAAAAUGCAAGCUAUGUGACAGGGAAUUUUUUUGUAAAAAAAUGUAAAACAUAGGAAAAAACAAGGAAAUGAGGUGUUUUUAAAAUAUUUUUUAACUAUGCAAGAUAUCCCUUUAAGCACAGCGUGGGAUAUAACAUUAAUCUUAUUUGUCUGUGAUCUAAAAAACUGUAUAUAUUUCCUCAUAGACAGGACUUUGCUACAUUACCUCAUUUUUACCCACAGAAGCCAAACUGCUAGAUUUUUGGAGACUGCUGGCAAUAAAUUUUUUCUCUGACAAUUAGUUCAUUACUAAUCUUGACCAUCUCUCCAAUGAACUCAUGAAGAACUUUAAUAUUGAAAAGCACCUCGUAAAUAAUUUACAAUAAACCUGAACGAAUAUUGAGCAUUUCUAAAUAUGACCUCCCUUUGCAGGAUUUGCCUCUCUUUUAGCUUUUCUUCCUGAACCUUUGCUACAAUUAUCUUUAAAUCUCCAUGAAAGAAGCCAAAGAAAUGGGAACUCAGGUUUGUAGUAAUAUUAGUUGUCUUACUAAUGGAUAUUCUAUAGCUUGUCCUUUUUUCCACUUCCUCUUACCUGGUCCUUUCAUAACUCAGACAGUCAGACAGACUCUUAAAUACCCUUUGGUUGGAGCCAAGGGGUCUUACAAAUGUAAUUUAUACAGUAGUUGAUGAUUUAAAUGGCAAACCCCCCAAAUCUCGUGCUUUUUAAAAACUUAAAUCUGUCUGGAUCUCAUUAAUGAAAGUUCUUGACUACAGGAGAAACUCCCUCCUCUUUUUUUGGAAAACUAUUCAUGUAUUCAUGAGAUCCAGCUCUUCUUUUCAAAAAAUACUUUGGAAUCAUGGUUUUAUCUGUUGUUUUUUGUCCAGUGGACUCAGCCAAAACCUUGCCAGUGGUGACGUAGGAUGAUGUCAGUGGGGAGACUUCAUGAUGACCACACUGUCAAGACAAACAGUGCAAACAGUGCAUAACAGGAAUUCCAGGGAAUAGUGGAUUUAUCUUAACACUCAGACUGAGAAACUGCUAAGCAUCUAUUUUAAAAAAAAAAAAAAAAAGUUAAAAAGGGCAGCUGCAUAUUAGGGCCAAACCUUUGCCCAUGGAUAGAUCUUUGCUACUUUUCUGCUACUUUGCUAUUCCAUUCUGACUGUAUGGAAAUCAGAACAUGACAACUUUGCCUUAGCCAUAAUAUCUAAGAAAGCCUAUGAGAAUGAAGGGUGAAACCAGCUUGCCUCCAUUUGGGAACAGCUGAGGCUAUCUGAUGGUAAACAGCUUGUGUGUUAAUUUGUGGAUAAAGCUAUCCUGAUGCAGAUUGUCAAGUUGUUUAUUCGUGGGGUCAUAACUUGAGGAGAGAUAAGGUUUCACUGAUCUACUCCCUGCAUAGAUUUCAGCAGUUAUUACUUGUUGAAGGUUCUAAAUGAGAAUUGACUCAUACUGGUGGCUAAGUCUCAUUUUUCCAAAAGAAGGUGACAAUGCCUCUGUGAAAGAUUCUAUAGGAGGGACAGGCUUAUUUUAUUUAUUAUAAUUUUGUGAAAUCCACCAGUGUCUACUCCUUUUCUUUUGAAUUUGGCAUAAGGAUAGCUGAGAAGUCUGGGGUAAAGCAAGAUCAGUGGUGCUUCUUUUUGCCUCAUCCUGCUCUGUUUUGCAAAGAUUAUACAGGUGUGCUUGAGGAGCUCCUAUUGAUAUUUCAGGUCUCUCAAGGCAUCGCUGACUACACCAGAUAUUGUUGAUACAGGCAUCUCUUUUGGAAGGAGAUAGAUUUUCUUUUAAGGGGUUUUACUUUUUUAAUGGAGAGAAGUGCUGGGAAACUGCUUCUUCAACCUGAAGGGUCUAACAAGAUUCAAGCCAGAUUCCACUUGCUUCCCCUCCUUGUUAUGUUCAAUGUAUUAUAACUGCAUUGGAAGUGUUCAGAAAGAAGGCAUAGCUCACUAUAAUAACUUCAAACUUAGCUCUCUGCUUCUGAUUCAUAUACCUGCUGGUUUGGAAAUGAAAAAUGAGUGAUGUCUUAUUUUUCAGCUAAGUAUUAGAAUUAGACAUGGUUUCUGCCUUGUUUCUACUUCUAGUCUUUUUGGGUGUGUGAAGGAGAGAAUGAGAACAAGACAAAGACAUCUAUAAAGAGAAGUGGAAUAUUUCUUUGUUACCAGAACAGAGAUUGUUUCCUCUUUCCAGGUGUGCAUUUUUCAGUGGCUUAGUUGAUGCCAUUAUCCCUUACUUUCCAAGUUUUUUAGCCCUCCAAGAACAGGGAGACAUCAUUAGAGAUACUCUUCUCUAUUCUCCACUAGUACACAGAAAAGCUUCUACUGUGGAGUUGCAAGGUUUGCACUUGCAUUUGCCCUUUCUCAUCCUCCAGCUCUGAGAUAAGCUGUUCCAUUUUCUGGUUGCUAUGUUGUCACAACCAGGCCACGGGGAAGGUGCUGUCCAAGAAAAACAAAUUGGUCAUUCUAACAACGAUCAGCAGGAGUCCAAGUAAAGGAUCUUUUAGCAAUUUCUUAAAGAACUUUGUUUUGUGUAACAGAUACAAACCCAAACUUACUUAAAUGUUACUGAGUUUUGUAUACAUGAAGAAAAGGGACAUCAUCUUGCAAGUGAAGAAAAAUGCUUUUGUAUCCAGUUCAGUUACAGAGACUUCAGAUUCCUGCUGAAGAAGAGAAAGAGUCAGAUGCCCUGCAGUACUGUAACAGUUACCAAACAAUUUCCCAUCUCCAGAGAACAGCAAGAAAGAACCCAUUAGACUUGUCCUGGAAGGCUGAAUGCCCUGUCAGCUGAAUCGUCACACCAGAAUUAUAAUAUUUUAAGAGAACUGCUCCUUUUGGACCUCUGUCAUGUGGUGGCACCACCAGUUCACCAGUAGCCUUUGAGAGUCUGAGGAUAACUACUUUUGAUAUUCAAAGAGGUUAUUUAAUGAUAUACUUUUACACUGAACCUUUAUUGUGCCUUUAAGUAGACUCCACAAGGACUGUGCUAGCUGCUCCUUUAUUUACUUAACCUUGCCAUUUUAAGGUAAAUUGCUGCAAAGCUUGAUAUUUUUGACUUUGUCUUUCUGUGAGGAGUUGAAUUUAAGAAUGGCAAUGUCAGUACAUAAUUCUUGUCCUUAUACUUAGGAAGUUGGCAGCUUAGGUCUGCUAAAUGUAUCUAUUUGACCACUAAGCGGAACUGGCAUCCAGGUAUCUCAGUCAAUGUCUUACCUCAGAUCUCUCUCCUCAGGUAAGCCGUUAGACUAUCACUCCACAGCUAAAUGGUACAGCUGCUCACAGUAGUAAAUGGACUGCUGUGGCACACAACACUAUCUUCUGUGGCAGCUGUGAAAGAACCUUCUCAGGGUUAGACCAUACCCAGCUGAGGUGCUGUGCACAGGUGCUAGAGGAGGCACAGUCCUCAGCUGAAGAAGCUCCAGACAAAAAUAUUAGCUUGAGUUUCCAACUUUUCAAGUUCUGUGAGAAACAGAGCAAAUUAGUCCUUUGGUGAAACGCAACAUGCUAGGACAGGUCUUCUGACCUCAGUGCUUUCAUAUUAUUACACUUGACCAGCUAGCUGAGUAACACGGUAUGGCAUUAUCUGAUUUCUCCAGUGCUUACAGCAAAGUGACUUCAUAAUAAAAGCAUUCACAUUCACCCAUACAACUUCAGAUUUUGCAAGACUGUUAUGUUUCUAAUAAUGAAAAACAUGGCUUUAUUCAGAUGAUAAAGUAGCCAUAAAUAAAGAGCUCAGAGGAGCAGGCUGACAAAUAAACUUUUUAUAUGUUAGGCAUGUAUGGUGAUGUAGUUUGUGGUGACAGCGCAUUGCUCAGAAGAGCAGGUCAUAUGCUGCUUCCUAUUAUACCAAUGUCAGCCCAGAGGAUUUCCAUUGUCUAUAUUUCAACCAGUUCAGCUAAGAUAAAGAUCUCUACACAGGAUUUCAUAGCCUUUUUUUGCCACUGUAUAGUAUUAUUAAAAAAAGAAAGUACUGUAGGGGUCAAAUUACUCUCAGUAUUGUUUCCGAUAAUAAAAGCACUACAAAUGGUUUAGUCUUACCCAUUAAUCAUAAUAAAAUUGUAAAAAAAAAAAGGCUGAAAUGGAUUUCAGUAAGGUACCAAGCCCUUCUCCUGCACUGUUAUGAAACUUAGGCAUGUGACACGAGGCAACGCCUAUCCCAGUGACUGUCACUGGAAACCAGACA